CAACCCCUUCUCUCAGGAAGGGCAAGACCUGGGACAGGGAAUGAGGCCUCAGCUUCCAGAACCGGCCUGGUUAUAGUUACUCAGCAAGUGUAAGAAAUGUUCAGGCCCAAGUCCAUGGGGAGCAAGGGGUCAGCUUCCCAGGACUCCUUCUUGACAAGUACACUAAUCCUCUCCCCACCCCACCACCACCCCCGGCCGCUUGUUCCCAGCCAUAUGCCACAACUGUUAAGCCCCUGCUGUACACAGUGUUCCUACAGGUCUCAACCUGAGAACCUUACCCCACCUUGGUGCAUCCCCUGGAUGCCUGGCACACAGGCCAUAUUUGGGUCCCAGACAUGUCCCACCAACUCAGAAGCUUCAACCAGUGAAAGUUUUGUUUUGACCUAAUGGUAGGGAGGGUUGGGUUUGUGUGUGUGUUUUUUUUCAAUUGUCGUUGUUGGCUGGUUUUUUUAAGGUCUUUUUUUUUUCUAUUCACCUUUUUUUUCUUCUUCUUAUCUUCACAAAGCCAAGCCAUCAGGCCCCCUCUGGGCUUUUCCAGAAAGGCCUGAAACCAGUCUUGCGGAUACUUUGGAGUGAACAUUGGAUGACACAAUCUUGGGCCAUGCCGGGCAUUGGGGAGCCGGGGACUGGGAGUCUCAGCCAUGGCCUGUCAGGAGAAGCCCCUGGGUACUGGUCUCCCCUGUUGAGCAUUGAUUGGAGGAGGUGCGCCCUGAGGUGAGGAAAUGCAGCCACCAAUUCUUGGACAACCUUAACACCGCACAACCUUCAAGCCCCCCAGAAGAACCUGAGAACCUCCCUGUCAUUGCAUGCUAGUAUUUAAAACCUGAAACUGUUGGGCUCAAGGAAACUUGGGGGUUUCAAAGUCUGGCACCAAAAGGCAGGGCCCCACACCUGCCAGCUCUGUGAUCUGGGACAAGUUUCUUGACUACUUCGCGUCUCCAUUUUGUUCACCUUUGUAUUGGCCAUGAUGUCAAGAUGGACCCCAACGGGCUUUGGUGAGGAUUGAAUGUGACCAUGUUGUUGUUGUCGUUAACCCUCACCAGAUAUUUUUGCGUUGAUUUUUAGAGAGAGUGGAAGGGAUGGGGAGCGAAAGAGAGAGAGAAACAUCGAUGUGAGAGA